AGAAAUUUGCACAUCAAUGGGGGAUUGUAUCAGUGACAGCAGAAAAAGAGUGAACGUAUUACAAAGAGAAUGCAGGAUUGGAUUUCAAUUCACUGAACAUUCUCUCAGAGCACAGUGUGAUGAGGGUCAUGAGCACUGGCCAAUCACAGCACCCAGUGGGAUCCAUAUUAACGCAGUGUAGGCAAUUGUGCUUGCUGCUGUUAUGCAUGAAGCCCAGCAUGGGUCCAAGUGAAGGCUGUGUGUCUGCAUUCACAAUCUACUGAUGGACUCUGCUCAGAGUUGUGCCUGUGCAUUGAUGAGGCCUUAUUUUCCAAUCCCGCCUCAGGAGAGUUGGCUAUGAGAUGAUCACCGGCUGUUAUUUACAACAGGGGUACGCUGGUGGUACCCAACAUUGCCCUCAGAGUUUUAAUGCUACCUAAUCUAUUGACAUCUGGUCCAAGGGUUUCAAGCAUCUGGCACAAUUCAAGUCAUUCAUGGCCUGGGAUUCCAUUCAAACAGUUUCUAGGCAUGUGAGAGAAAAUGUUGUGUGUAUAUUUACACUGUGUAUUGAUAGUGUUUAAAAUAUAUUAGAAAAUGACUUUAUGAGCUUAUGGUAAAGGUAGAUUAAUCAGGAGUGUCCAACUAGUUGAACUGUGAGGAGCUUAUUAGCAUCAUUGUUCAUUCUGUAAUCACUGUGUAUACUGAG